GGUGGCAAAGCACAAUUGGCCGUGCGCCGGAUUGUCUAUCCGGAAGUUGCGGGUUCGAUCCCCGUUGUCACCG
rnacentral:tRNA from 1 species